ACUGGAGUCGCGACACCUUGCCGGACAUAUACAGGGUUCUGGAGAGCUGGACCUUCAAGAGCCCGCUGGAGGCACUGGCCCUUCUUACACCAAGUUUUCCAGAUCAGAAGGUUCGUGAAGCUGCUGUGUGGCAGAUUGAGACAUUCUGUGAUGAGGAAAUAGAAGAGUGUCUCCCGCAGCUGGUCCAGGCUUUAAAGUUUGAGUGGGAUCUGGAAAGCCCCCUGGU